UCUAAUUAAAAUAAAAUAAACAUAUAUCAGCUAGUAGAGUUACAUAUAUCCAUUACAAUCGAUCGAUCAAGUCUAGCUCUCCCCAAAUCGAACGAAAAAACCUAGCUCAACCGAAACGAAGAAUUUCUGAUAAUCAACCAUUCCGGCAAGAUAAUCGGUUCAACAAUGAAGUAAGUAUGUGAUUUUUCUCUUCUCUUUUACUCUUAUUCUCUAUGUACUGUAAAUCCCUUUCUGUGGCGGCUUAAACCCAUCCGGCUUGAUAAGCUUUGUCGUGUGGGGUUAGCUAUAUAUUGAGAUUCGCCGUCAUGCAUAGUGCUAUUUCGGAUCUGGGCAGGCUGGAGUUAGAAGAUUUUUUUCUGUGCUGAUUUCAUGCGUUUUUAUUACUUUAUCCCUUAAUCGAUUAUGGGUGUUUUUGUUUGGUCUCUCUUUGGUUUCGCUUGCCGGACUGCUGUCGAUUGUUAUGGGUGAACUGUUUCCGUAGUCGGUCGGCUGCGUGUUCGCAUGCUCUCCCAUGUGCAUUACAGCUGGCUCUUGAGUUCGUCGGACUGCUUUGGUUUGGGUAAACCUCACGUGGGCUGUGUAGUUAAUGAUGUGCUCUGGUUUGGGUCUGGUGAAAUUCUGAAAUUGCAUCAGAAAAUUGAUUAUUUUCGAGAUGUAAUGAAAUCAAGUGGGAGAGAUUGGCCAAUGAAGAAGGGAUAUCACCGGUAAAAUUAUUCUCAGAAAGCCAUAAAAAACGUCAUUUUCGAAAAGAAAUUGGAUGAGAUUUCACCAGAAAACUGAUUGGGUUUGUAAAAAGCAGAUCUGUGACCUUUUGAUUUGUGAAUAGGAGAUUGAGAUAAUGUGAGAUUGGGUUUGUAAAAGAGCAGGCUUGUGACUUUUUGAUUUGUGAAUAGGAGAGAGAGUGAGAUUGUUUCUUAAUGUUUUUUUAUCUGUUUGUUUUAUUUUAAUUAAAAAUGUUAAAUUAGGUUUUGACCAUUUU
rnacentral:lncRNA from 1 species